AAUGGUGGGAACUCUAAGGAGACUGCCGGUGACAAACCGGAGGAAGUGGGGAUGACGUCAAGUCAUCAUGGCCCUUACGGCCAGGGCUACACACGUGCUACAAUGGUCGGUACAAAGGGUUGCCAAGCCGCGAGGUGGAGCUAAUCCCAUAAAACCGAUCGUAGUCCGGAUCGCAGUCUGCAACUCGACUGCGUGAAGUCGGAAUCGCUAGUAAUCGUGAAUCAGAAUGUCACGGUGAAUACGUUCCCGGGCCUU
rnacentral:rRNA from 1 species